UACGUAGGGGGCAAGCGUUAUCCGGAUUUACUGGGUGUAAAGGGAGCGUAGGCGGCAGCGCAAGUCAGAAGUGAAAGCCCGGGGCUCAACUCCGGGACUGCUUUUGAAACUGUGUAGCUAGAUUGCAGGAGAGGUAAGUGGAAUUCCUAGUGUAGCGGUGAAAUGCGUAGAUAUUAGGAGGAACACCAGUGGCGAAGGCGGCUUACUGGACUGUAAAUGACGCUGAGGCUCGAAAGCGUGGGGAGCAAACAGG
rnacentral:rRNA from 1 species